AGUGUGAUAACUGGGUCAAAUGGUGGUUCUAUUCCAAGUUUUCUGAGGAAUCUCCAUACUGCUUUCUAGAAUGGUUGAACCUAUUUGCAGUGCCACAAGCAAU
rnacentral:pre_miRNA from 1 species